AUACUCAACCUCGUGGCUGAAACUUUGAUUUUAUUAAGGAAUCAUAUACUAUCUCAAAAGACGUCACAUGGUAUCACCACAUUAUGUUGUAACACACUAGAGCGAAAGAAUUUUACAAUUUAUACAUUUUAAACGGUAGAGACUGUUUAUAAUUUAUUUCAAGUGUCGUCACUGGACGCGUACGUAUGUCGUAUGUUAACGUGUGUAUGCGCAGCCUGAUACUGUAUUCAGACUGACAGUAGCAUUGUGUUUCUAUUUACAUACAUCGACACACACGCGUCUGAGAUAAUUGUGUUGGUGCAAGCUGUCAGUAUCAAGAAAACCAAGCUGCGAUAAUGAUGAAAUGCAAAUCAGCACCGUCACCAGACGUGCUCAGAUCAUUUUACUUUAAUCUCUGUCGUAGGAAAAUUCGUGCACGCACACAUUCUUGUGAUGACACGAUAAAAAAAGGUCGUUAAUACGUAAAUGGCACGCGCGUGCAGCGAGUGCGAGCGUUUGUUUUUCGGAUGAAGUUUAGCGAGCGACUGGCUUUAGGUUGGUAGUGGUCGCUCGAGAGCUCGAAUGGGAAAGGUCGUACAACUGUAAGUGCAGCUGUACUCAACGUACCGAACUGGAGACCGGUAUUAGUACCAUUAGGAAUUCGUGCCCCAGAUGUAUCUGCAUAUCAACAUACGUAAACAAGCGCCAUAUUGUUUUGGUCAAAUGCUGCCUACAAGAAGAUGGCUUGUUUUUUUUCAAAUACACAUAUAACAUUGUAGUUUGCGGUUAAGAAAUAAGAGGUGAUCAGUUUCAAUAGGCAUCAUGAGACGUCCGACAUACUGAUGCCAAAUCGAUGAAUCGCAGCGAAUUCCAGCUACAUCUGACGAACACAAGAAGUGACACACUCCCGGUUGUCGCAGGAAUGCAGCAUUUUUCAUAAUUAGUACGCAUAAAAAGAAUAUAAAGGAUUUCUAAGAAUCACUGAUAUAAAUGUAAAAGAAACAUUACCCAAUUACAAGCCAGAAGAGUGAAUAGAGCUACUGUAAUAAUAAUAAAUAGAGGAUGGAAUACUUUCCCAAGAAAUUGAAAACCUCUCAUGUAUUGCUAGCGCUAGUAGCUACUCUAUACGAAACGUUGGCGCCGAGCCCGCAAACCGUACCCAGGAAUUCCACAACCAAGCUUUAUCACGCGGUUGAUAACUGCAAUUACAGGUGUCCGUUUAAUUUCGUUGCGUAACUAAUUGUCAGCCGCAAUUUCAAUGCUAAUGUCUGUGCGCAAAUGCGCAUAGUCUCAAAGACUCUGUCAGCGGGAAAGAACCACAAAACGAUCACUUGAGGAAACAGGGGAAAUGACGAGACACGUCGCUGAAGCUCCGUACGUCCGCAUCUGCGGGUCUUCCCUGAAGAAUUAGUCACUGGAAGCGUAGCGCUAAUCGUUAAGUAGCACGAAAGGACGCUUCGUGCGAUUUGCUAAUGUAAACACCGCCAGGUUGCCGGCCAUACUGCGGCGUUGCAUCCCGCCGCGCUUUUGAACUUCGCAUGUCAAUAAUCCUUGACCUAUUCGACGUAUCAACGAACGAGAGUGGAGGAACGUGCCACUGCUGAACGCUGAAAGACCCUGUGCCCUUGCCAUUGCGAUUUAAUGCGCUCGUUCUAUAACCGUUUAGGCUUUCAUCUGAUUUCGAUCGUGACCGAAUAAGGCGCAGUCAAGCACCACUGGAUGCAUACUGAAAACUGUUGGAAACGGGAUAUUCGAACGGCGACUCCGAUGCCUGGUGCUACAGGCUAGGGACCAACGUCGACGUCCCUCGCCCCUCUUCAAGCAUCCGACGAUGUCGUACGGCAGACAUCGUGCAGCGUUGUAGCGUACAGUGACCAUACGGCACACAGUAUACGUAUACCCCACACCCAAUGAUGAUACGUAGUCACCUUAGCAGCGGUGCUCAUAACGAUCGGUUCGCGUGCUGUCGUUGCAUUUGUCGAUACCAGGUAAUGCUGCAGUGUCUUUUUUUAAACGCGAAUGAUUUUGCGCCCGCGUUGCUCGGACAGCGGAUAGAUUUACACACCCCGUGACAACGUUGCAGGUCUUGCUAUCCUGCUCGAUGUAGAUACUGUCUUGUUCAUACAUUAUUGCAAGAAACUUCUUGGAAAAUAAUUGUUUAUGAUUAAAAUAUGAGAAAUCAGAGUUUCUUGCAAGGAAUGUCAUCACCUCUAGAACCACCAUAAACUGCUUGGUCGAUAAAUCGCUAACGGUACAAAUCCAAUUUCUCAUUAUCCCGGGCCCCUAGUUUGAAACUGAGCGACGAAUUUAGGGUGGGUCACAGGGUGACUAUUAGUCACUAACUGCACGAAAACUGUAUAGAGAGUUUGCUAGAUGGAAAUAAUGCUUGUUGCGUUUCAGUUAGAACUCUGUAUUUUCAUCAGUUUUGCAAAUAUUGACUUUAGAUAACGAAACUACAAGGAAUCGAUUUUUCUUUACUUCCCUGGGUGUACAUUCCUCGCUUCAUUGUUUUGAAAGGUCUGCAC